AAACCGUAAAUUGGAGGCGGAAGUUCUCCGGAACAUUUGCCCUACACAACCGAUCCCAAGCGUUUCAGUUGAGCGGGUCGGUACUCAGUUCUCCCUCUCAAGAAAAUCAAGAAAAAGAAAAAAAAAAAGAAGCCCCAAACGUUUCAAGCCCUCACGGAAUCUUCAACUCUCAGUGAUCGGUCGAUGAUGGAGGAAGAAGAAGAAGAAGAAGAAGAAGAGCAAGUUCGCGAAUCCGUAAUGAUCGGAGACGACGAUUCGGCCAAUGGAGGUGGCGGAGCUUCGACGGCGACGGCGGGGAGGAAGGAGAAAGUGAAGGGGCCAUGGUCGCCGGAGGAGGACGCGGUGCUGAGCACGUUGGUGAGCAAGCUCGGCGCGAGGAACUGGAGCUUCAUUGCUCAGGGCAUCGCCGGCCGUUCUGGGAAAUCCUGCAGGCUUCGAUGGUGUAAUCAGCUCGCUCCUUAUGUUAAGAGAAAACCCUUCUCUGAGGAAGAGGAUCGGAUAAUAAUCGCUGCUCAUGCAGUCCAUGGAAACAAAUGGGCACAAAUUGCAAAGCUUUUACAAGGUAGAACAGACAACGCUGUAAAGAAUCACUGGAAUUCUACUCUACGACGUAGAGCAUAUGGUUAUCCCGAGCGCAAGACAACUAGUACUCUUCUUGUGAAUGGUGGUGUGGAAAAAAUUAAAGUAUCUUCUGAGAAAGCUCAAUCCCUUGUGCCAAUCAAUCCGUUUAAAUCCUUGGAAGUAAGAGAUACUAGUUUGAGCAAAAACUUGCCUUGUCAGGUUGAGGAAAAGAUUGACGAUCAUGUUGUUCCUUGUGAACCUAAAGUUGAAGACCAACCGAAAUUGUUCCGACCAGUUGCAAGAGUAAGCGCCUUCAAUAUAUACAAUACUUUAUCUGGUGAAUCAAAAGGUUCUUUACUUCCAAGAUCAGUACAUGAACCACAGUUCCAAGCUUCUAGAUCUACUGGCGAAGCCUGCAAGUUGCUUGAUAGUCUUAGCUGUGAGCCUGAGGUGCCAUCUCGAUGCGGGCAUGGCUGCUGUCGUAUUGAGAAGGAGAGUUCUCAGACUUCUUUGUUAGGUCCAGAGUUUAUGGAAUUUGUGGAGGCUCCCCCAAUUUCAAGUCUUGAAUUGGCUUUAGUAGCUUCAGAUCUUAGUAGCAUUGCCUGGCUCAAGAGUGGAUUGCAGACUACCAGCACUAGGAUAUUCAGUAACCCGCGCUUGGAGAGCUGGAAUUCAGGACAUAACGUAGAAGCCUGAAUCUUAUCUUGCAAUCGUAGAAGAUAUUACCAUUCAGUUGUGGACCUGAGUACCGUGUUGCGGAGAUGAACCGGUAACGAAAAACUCCAGAAAAAACGUCAGGAUCUGGUGCCCUGGCUGUCUUUAUACAGAGUAGACAAAAAUUGUUGCGAGGAGCAUGCGCCUACAUUGACAAGGACUCGAGCUUUUUCUUUAGCCUGACAAUAUGUGUGUGUAUGUAUAUACGUGGUUGGUAUCGUUAGUAUUAGCAUGCAAAUAUCAUCAAUUCAAAUUUAAGUAUCUACUUUCAAUUUCUCACGUUCAGUUUCCUACGUCCAAGGGCAAGGCGUUGGACUUUGAGAUUAUUUUGGGUCUGGUCUCUCAGUUUUUUCCCCCCUCUCAGUGAAGUUGUUCACCUAAAAUCUACCGGCGCUAGCAUCUGCCCCCAUUAACAAGCGCAUAGAGAACUGAAAGUGAUGGGAAAACAUCCCCACAUGGCUCCUCUACCAAUGGCGCAGUUACACGCGCACCUGCAUCAAUUAUCAUGGAGAUGAUGACACAAGGUCAUUAGACUCUCUGUUUGUGUCCAAUUCACAUCAUUAAUUGCCCCUUUUGCAAUGAGACGGCAUGUAUUAUAUACUCUUCAUUUGUCUCCUCGGCUUUGAAAGUGCAAGCGUUUUGUUUUUUGUUUA